rnacentral:rRNA from 1 species
AGAGUUUGAUCCUGGCUCAGGAUGAACGCUGGCGGCGUGCCUAACACAUGCAAGUCGAACGCACUGGCCCAACUGAUUGAUGGUGCUUGCACCUGAUUGACGUUGGAUCACCAGUGAGUGGCGGACGGGUGAGUAACACGUAGGUAACCUGCCCCGGAGCGGGGGGAUAACAUUUGGAAACAGAUGCUAAUACCGCAUAACAACAAAAGCCACAUGGCUUUUGUUUGAAAGAUGGCUUUGGCUAUCACUCUGGGAUGGACCUGCGGUGCAUUAGCUAGUUGGUAAGGUAACGGCUUACCAAGGCGAUGAUGCAUAGCCGAGUUGAGAGACUGAUCGGCCACAAUGGAACUGAGACACGGUCCAUACUCCUACGGGAGGCAGCAGUAGGGAAUCUUCCACAAUGGGCGCAAGCCUGAUGGAGCAACACCGCGUGAGUGAAGAAGGGUUUCGGCUCGUAAAGCUCUGUUGUUGGAGAAGAACGUGCGUGAGAGUAACUGUUCACGCAGUGACGGUAUCCAACCAGAAAGUCACGGCUAACUACGUGCCAGCAGCCGCGGUAAUACGUAGGUGGCAAGCGUUAUCCGGAUUUAUUGGGCGUAAAGCGAGCGCAGGCGGUUGCUUAGGUCUGAUGUGAAAGCCUUCGGCUUAACCGAAGAAGUGCAUCGGAAACCGGGCGACUUGAGUGCAGAAGAGGACAGUGGAACUCCAUGUGUAGCGGUGGAAUGCGUAGAUAUAUGGAAGAACACCAGUGGCGAAGGCGGCUGUCUGGUCUGCAACUGACGCUGAGGCUCGAAAGCAUGGGUAGCGAACAGGAUUAGAUACCCUGGUAGUCCAUGCCGUAAACGAUGAGUGCUAGGUGUUGGAGGGUUUCCGCCCUUCAGUGCCGGAGCUAACGCAUUAAGCACUCCGCCUGGGGAGUACGACCGCAAGGUUGAAACUCAAAGGAAUUGACGGGGGCCCGCACAAGCGGUGGAGCAUGUGGUUUAAUUCGAAGCUACGCGAAGAACCUUACCAGGUCUUGACAUCUUGCGCUAACCUUAGAGAUAAGGCGUUCCCUUCGGGGACGCAAUGACAGGUGGUGCAUGGUCGUCGUCAGCUCGUGUCGUGAGAUGUUGGGUUAAGUCCCGCAACGAGCGCAACCCUUGUUACUAGUUGCCAGCAUUAAGUUGGGCACUCUAGUGAGACUGCCGGUGACAAACCGGAGGAAGGUGGGGACGACGUCAGAUCAUCAUGCCCCUUAUGACCUGGGCUACACACGUGCUACAAUGGACGGUACAACGAGUCGCAAGCUCGCGAGAGUAAGCUAAUCUCUUAAAGCCGUUCUCAGUUCGGACUGUAGGCUGCAACUCGCCUACACGAAGUCGGAAUCGCUAGUAAUCGCGGAUCAGCAUGCCGCGGUGAAUACGUUCCCGGGCCUUGCACUCACCGCCCGUCA